rnacentral:tRNA from 1 species
AAGGAGUUAGUUUAAUAAACAUUUAAUUGUCAAAUAAAAAUUGCACAAAAUGCACUUCUUG